rnacentral:rRNA from 1 species
CCUACGGGUGGCAGCAGUGGGGAAUAUUGGGCAAUGGGCGCAAGCCUGACCCAGCAACGCCGCGUGAAGGAAGAAGGCUUUCGGGUUGUAAACUUCUUUUCUCAGGGACGAAGCAAGUGACGGUACCUGAGGAAUAAGCCACGGCUAACUACGUGCCAGCAGCCGCGGUAAUACGUAGGGGGCAAGCGUUAUACGGAUUUACUGGGUGUAAAGGGCGUGUAGGCGGGGACGCAAGUCCGAUGUGAAAACCCCGGGCUCAACCUGUUGCCUGCAUUUGAAACGGUGUUUCUUGAGUACUGGAGAGGCAGACGGAAUUCCUAGUGUAGCGGUGAAAUGCGUAGAUAUUAGGAGGAACACCAGUGGAGAAGGCGGUCUGCUGGACAGCAACUGACGCUGAGGCGCGAAAGCGUGGGGAGCAAACAGGAUUAGAUACCCUUGUAGUC